rnacentral:lncRNA from 1 species
GGGUGAUUAAUAAACUUUAACCAGUUCCAAACAAUGUUAGAAAGAGUCAAAAGCAGCAAACCCAUUGAUUUGGAAAUCUACAAUGGCAUUUGAGUUGGCCUAGGCCAAAUUGCAAUGUAUAAUGAAGCUUCACAUCACUUAAUAACCCCUUUCUGUUAUUUUCUCCUAAUCUAUCUAACUAUAGUGUUCAUGUAAAUGCCCGGCAAUUAACUAGUCUGAGACAAGCGCAGGCCAUGUUCAAACAAUAGAUACAAUUUUAUCGUGCUCAUGAUAUGAAACCCAAUUUGGAUCUGCCACUCUCCCUCAAUUUGUAACAACAUGCAACUAUUCUAAGACAUUCAUGUGACCAUAGAAAUUCAACCCUCAUGUCUGUAUUAUGGUGGUGGCUAAGGGUUGAGUUCUAUCACCAAUAGAAGAAAUUAUGACUCUCCUCAUCAAUUUCUUGAGAAGGUAUAAAAAUCUAUAAUCAUCAUAAUUAUGUUGUUUCAGUAUUUUCAAGUGCAUAGAGAUUUCACUACAAGCAUAAGUAAUUGUAUUUAUUCAUUCAUUAAGUUUGAGGUUAUAGUCAGGCAUAAGGACUUUUUGAGACUUAUUGGAAGAGCUUAUGAAAACAACUUAUAGUUUAUAUGAAAACAGUUUGACUUUAUUAUAUCUUUUGUUAUAGAUAUAGCGUAUAUAUAAGCACUUGUAUGAUAAGUGUUUAUACUAUAGGCACUUAAUCCAGCUGUUUAUCCAAACAUAGUCUAAAUUGAAUUCAGAUCAAGAGAAAGCCAAAAGUAGAAGAGUCGUACGUGUUCUUAAAUAGUGUCAAACCAAAGCUAGGGAAAUUGUCAAAUCCACAUGAAUCUCCAAUACCACUGAAAAACCACUUAAAGCAACUCCAGAAGAAACUUAUGCUUAAAUACUUUCCAAGUUGUCGAACUUGGUUCCUGUAAUAUUCUCAUAACAAAAAAAUAAUAGUAAAUAAACAAAAUAGUAACAAAAACAAUCUAUUCAUAAACACUAAGAGGAUAAAAAGAGUUCAAGGUGCACGAUAGAAAAAGCUUCUGAGUAGUAAAAUUAGUAUACCCUGCAAGUUCUGCUCCCGUUUUUGUAUGGAAACUGUUAAUGAGCAUUGCUGUGGCUGUUCCACUGGGAUAUGUAAGCUUAUAAUCCAAGACCAUAACCUGAAAUUGAAUUCACAGAUACUAAAUACAUUGGUAAAGGAAGUGGUAUAUCAUACAUGUAAUAGAUUGAAGAAAAAGAGGUUAUACCUCUAUAUAAAAAAGUACCAAAGCAUUAACCAAAUGCACUCCCAUCAAUUCAACUAUUAUAUUCACAUGUGUCAUCACUCAUCACUCAUUAGAUACACUACUAAAAUGAUUCCAUUUUUUUUUUGUUGAAUAAAAACCUAAUAAAAGAUUUUUUUAAAUUACACGAUUCCCCUUAAUUCGUAUUUUUCCAUCUAGUAUUUAACACAGAAAUGCUCGCAUUUUCACGCAGAACAGAAACAAUGCAUACGACUUGGACCAUAUAUGUCUCCUC